AUGAACGCUAGCUACAGGCUUAACACAUGCAAGUCGAGGGGCAGCAUGAACUUAGCUUGCUAAGUUUGAUGGCGACCGGCGCACGGGUGAGUAACACGUAUCCAACCUGCCGAUGACUCGGGGAUAGCCUUUCGAAAGAAAGAUUAAUACCCGAUGGCAUAGUUCUUCCGCAUGGUGGAACUAUUAAAGAAUUUCGGUCAUCGAUGGGGAUGCGUUCCAUUAGGUUGUUGGCGGGGUAACGGCCCACCAAGCCUUCGAUGGAUAGGGGUUCUGAGAGGAAGGUCCCCCACAUUGGAACUGAGACACGGUCCAAACUCCUACGGGAGGCAGCAGUGAGGAAUAUUGGUCAAUGGACGAGAGUCUGAACCAGCCAAGUAGCGUGAAGGAUGACUGCCCUAUGGGUUGUAAACUUCUUUUAUACGGGAAUAAAGUGAGGCACGUGUGCCUUUUUGUAUGUACCGUAUGAAUAAGGAUCGGCUAACUCCGUGCCAGCAGCCGCGGUAAUACGGAGGAUCCGAGCGUUAUCCGGAUUUAUUGGGUUUAAAGGGAGCGUAGGCGGACGCUUAAGUCAGUUGUGAAAGUUUGCGGCUCAACCGUAAAAUUGCAGUUGAUACUGGGUGUCUUGAGUACAGUAGAGGCAGGCGGAAUUCGUGGUGUAGCGGUGAAAUGCUUAGAUAUCACGAAGAACUCCGAUUGCGAAGGCAGCCUGCUGGACUGUAACUGACGCUGAUGCUCGAAAGUGUGGGUAUCAAACAGGAUUAGAUACCCUGGUAGUCCACACAGUAAACGAUGAAUACUCGCUGUUUGCGAUAUACAGUAAGCGGCCAAGCGAAAGCGUUAAGUAUUCCACCUGGGGAGUACGCCGGCAACGGUGAAACUCAAAGGAAUUGACGGGGGCCCGCACAAGCAGUGGAGUAUGUGGUUUAAUUCGACGCAACGCGAAGAACCUUACCAAGUCUUGACAUCCCUUGACGAACAUAGAAAUAUGUUUUCUCUUCGGAGCAAGGAGACAGGUGGUGCAUGGUUGUCGUCAGCUCGUGCCGUGAGGUGUCGGCUUAAGUGCCAUAACGAGCGCAACCCUUAUCGAUAGUUACCAUCAGGUGAUGCUGGGGACUCUGUCGAGACUGCCGUCGUAAGAUGUGAGGAAGGUGGGGAUGACGUCAAAUCAGCACGGCCCUUACGUCCGGGGCUACACACGUGUUACAAUGGGGGGUACAGAAGGCAGCUACACGGCGACGUGAUGCUAAUCCCUAAAGCCUCUCUCAGUUCGGAUUGGAGUCUGCAACCCGACUCCAUGAAGCUGGAUUCGCUAGUAAUCGCGCAUCAGCCACGGCGCGGUGAAUACGUUCCCGGGCCUUGUACACACCGCCCGUCAAGCCAUGAAAGCCGGGGGUACCUGAAGUGCGUAACCGCAAGGAGCGCCCUAGGGUAAAACUGGUGAUUGGGGCU
rnacentral:rRNA from 1 species